rnacentral:misc_RNA from 1 species
GCAUUGCCAAGAAGGAUGAUUUCGCAGGGUGUUUUUAACAAAAAGCAGUUCAAUGUGGAGGUUUAUCCACUUUGUCUUAAGUUAAUUGAUUCCAGAGAUGACAUUGAAUUCACUAUAAGGUUAAGCAAAAAGGCUUCUCUUCAUGAGCUUUAUGAGAGGGUGUGUGCUCUUAGAGGAACAGAGAGAGAAAAGAUCAUUAUAUGGGACUACUUUAAUAAGCACAAGCAAUCACUGCUGGUUGAUUCAAAUCAUACCCUGG